rnacentral:rRNA from 1 species
UACGAAGGGGGCUAGCGUUGCUCGGAAUCACUGGGCGUAAAGGGUGCGUAGGCGGGAUCUUAAGUCAGAGGUGAAAGCCUGGAGCUCAACUCCAGAACUGCCUUUGAUACUGGGAUUCUUGAGUUCGGGAGAGGUGAGCGGAACUGCGAGUGUAGAGGUGAAAUUCGUAGAUAUUCGCAAGAACACCAGUGGCGAAGGCGGCGGCCUGGGCCUGACCUGACGCUGAGGCGCGAAAGCGUGGGGAGCGAGCCGG